AACAUGGUUAUCCUGCCAGUAGUCAUAUGNUUUGGUUCAAGGACUAAGCCAUGCAUGUCUCAGUCUAGUGCAACUUCCAAACAGUGGGUCUGUGAAUGGCUCCUUACAUCAGCAGUCAUCUCCGUGAUAGAGUGUGGAUGGCACCACCCUGCCAGGUGCCACUUGGACAUCCUCCAAAACCUAGUGGCUAAUACACGUUCGCCCAGGUCUGCCACAUCACGGCCUUGCCAGAUCCAAACCCUGGCUUGACCAGCGGUGGAUUGCACCCAGCCGAUUUGAAGACCAGCGCCUGGAAAUGGCAGCAUGUUUGUGGUUGACUCAGGCUGGUCCCUCUGUGGACACCUGCCCUGGCAGAGUGGUGGCUUCGGCCACAGCAUUGCUUGAUCACAAAACUUCUGAUCUAUCAGCCUUGAUGGUGGUGUAGUGGACCACCAUGGCAGCGACGGCUAACGGAGAAUCAGGGUUAGAUUCCGGAGAGGGAGCCUGAGAGAUGACUACCACUUCUAAGAAGGGCAGCAGGCACACAAAUUGCCCAAUGCUCAAAAACAUUUNCUCUGGUCAGGCACGAGACGAACUGUAAGCAAUUCCGNUCCUGCCCUUGUGUACCGGNCUUAAUUGAAGCAAACAUCAGCGAUGAGUAUCAACUGGAGGGCAAGUCUGGUGCCAGCAGCUGCGGUAAUUCCAGCUCCAAGAGCGUAUACUGAAAUUGCUGCAGUUAAAACACUUGUAGUCUGAUGCUGGGUUGCAGGUCUGCUGGGUGGCGGUGGUGGGCUGUCUGCCUCGUUCUGCCCCUCGGGGUGGGGUGGGGUGGGUGGUUUACUCCCGAAUACAACCCCCGCCAGUAUGUUCCUGCACCCAAAUUGAGGAUGGUACGAACUGCCCCUGCUCCAAGUCUCNUUCAGUGGGGACCGAUGCGGUUGCAUACCCAACGCCUGUGAUCUUGACGGUUCAGGGGCAGGGCCCCGUGCCCUGCAUCCAUCCCUCGUCAACCACCGGGGUCUACCAUCGUUGACACCCUGGAGAACUCAGUGUGCCCAACGCAUCCACAUCGGCUGGAUGCACGUCCAUGGAAUGUCACAGCAUUGACCAGAUGCGGCUAUGGAGUUGUGCUGGCCUUGGUGCCCAUCCUGGGCAACCUGCCGUCUGCUGGUACCCUCGGUCCGUGGGUGUGGGUCUGUUCUGCCCUCGGGUGGCUCCGGCCCCAUUCACGCCGUGGGAACCCAGUGGCGGCGAUCACUCUCGAGGGGACUGCUCGGGGUGGAAGGUAUUGCAACGCCAGAGGUGAAAUUCUCAGAUCGCUGCAAGACCAACUGCGGCGAAGGCGUUCUGCAAGUGCAUGUUCGUCGAUCAAGAAUGUGAGUGUGGGGAGCGAAGACGAUCAGACACCGUCGUAGUCCACAACUGUGAACCAUGCCAGCUCGGCGUUGAGGGUGCUACUAUCCAGCACACCCCCAGCGCCAUGCCCCCUAAAACGAGAAAUCUGAAGCCUUCGGGUUCAGGGGGGAGUACUGGUCGCAAGGCUGAAACUUAAAGGAAUUGACGGAAUGGCACCACAAGGCGUGGAGUAUGCGGCUUAAUUUGACUCAACACGGGGAAUGUUACCAGGUCAGGACGUUGCUGGGAUGGACAGAUUGAGGNUUUCGAAGGGUUCCNNNNANNNNNNNNNNNNNNNNNNNNNGANUGGUGGAUGAUUGUCUGGUUGAUCCGAAACGAGUGAGACAUCUGCCUCCCAAUAGCCCCAAACCUCGUACUUGUAGGGUGGCUGUGGGUGCCCUGGGCUGGGUUCGCCUGGUUCCAGGCCCCACGGUUCUGCCUGAGAGGCCCUGGGUUCAGCUUCUCAGUGGUGCUGUGUACNGCUACCAAGUGCAUGCAUGCUAGAGCCAACAGCAGGUCUGUGAUGCUCCCAGAUGUCCUGGGCCGCACGCGCACUACAUUGAUCUGGUGAAUGUGUUCUGCACUCCCUUUGUGGAGGCCUGCCUGGAAGUGGGUGGGAAACCCUGGAGCCCAUGAUCGUACUGGGGAUAGAUGAUUGCAACUGUCUGCCUUGAACGAGGAAUGCCUAGUAUGCGCAGGUCAUCAGCCUGCACCGAUUGUGUCCCUGCCAUUUGUACACACCGCCCGUCGUUGCUACCGAUGGUGACAGGAUAGAACCAUCACGAGGGUCACCAGCCAUGUCCCCAUGGCCGGGUCCAAAAUUGGGUGAUGUCCUGCCACUAGAGGAAGCAAAAGUCGUAACAAGGUUG
rnacentral:rRNA from 1 species